GGAGUUAGCCGGUGCUUCUUCUGUGAGUGAUGUCCUUCCUGCCGGUUAUUGACCCGCAGGCCUUCUUCCUCACUGAAAGUGCUUUACAACCCGAAGGCCUUCUUCACACACGCGGCAUGGCUGGAUCAGGGUUGCCCCCAUUGUCCAAUAUUCCCCACUGCUGCCUCCCGUAGGAGUCUGGGCCGUGUCUCAGUCCCAGUGUGGCUGAUCAUCCUCUCAGACCAGCUACGGAUCGUCGCCUUGGUGAGCCGUUACCUCACCAACCAGCUAAUCCGACAUAGGCUCAUCCGAUAGCGCGAGGCCCGAAGGUCCCCCGCUUUCCCCCGUAGGGCGUAUGCGGUAUUAGCCUGGGUUUCCCCAGGUUAUCCCCCACUACCGGGCAGAUUCCUAUGCAUUACUCACCCGUCCGCCGCUCGCCACCAGGGAGCAAGCUCCCCGUGCUGCCGCUCGACUUGCAUGUGUAGCUCGCCGCCACGCGUCAUCUGAGCCAGAAUACAACUACUGA
rnacentral:rRNA from 1 species